UUUAAAUGGCCGCAGUAUUUUAACUGUGCAAAGGUAGCAUAAUCAUUAGUCUUUUAAUUGAAGGCUGGUAUGAAUGGUUGGACGAAGUAUUAACUGUUUCAUAUAAAUUUAUAUUAGAAUUUUAUUUUUUAGUUAAAAAGCUAAAAUAAAUUUAAAAGACGAGAAGACCCUAUAAAUCUUUAUAUUUAACAAUUUAUAAUUUUAUAGAUAUUUUUUAUUAUAAAUUUAAAUAAUAUUUUAUUGGGGUGAUAUUAAAAUUUAAUAAACUUUUAAUUUUUAAACUCAUUAAUUAAUGAUUAAUUGAUCCGUUAUUAACGAUUAAAAAUUUAAGUUACUUUAGGGAUAACAGCGUAAUUUUUUUGGAGAGUUCUUAUCGAUAAAAAAGAUUGCGACCUCGAUGUUGGAUUAAGAUAUAAUUUUAGGUGUAGGUGCUUAAAUUUUAAGUCUGUUCGACUUUUAA
rnacentral:rRNA from 1 species